GCCCAGAUGGCGGAAUUGGUAGACGCGCUGGUUUCAGGGACCAGUGGCCGCAAGGCCGUGCAGGUUCGAUCCCUGUUCUGGGCA
rnacentral:tRNA from 2 species